rnacentral:rRNA from 1 species
AACGUAGGAGGCGAGCGUUAUCCGGAUUUACUGGGCGUAAAGCGCACGCAGGCGGUUCCGUUAGUCGGACGUGAAAGGUCCUGGCUUAACUGGGAGAGGGCAUUCGAUACUGUGGGACUUGAGGUUGGGAGAGGAGUGUGGAAUUCCCGGUGUAGUGGUGGAAUGCGCAGAGAUCGGGAGGAACACCUGUGGCGAAAGCGGCACUCUGGCCCACACCUGACGCUGAGGUGCGAAAGCGUGGGUAGCAAACAGG